AAUUUAUGGCUUUCUUCAGAGAAUGAUCAAAGGUUUACGGCAACCAGGAAUCAGAUCCAGUUCUUGAAAGAUUCUUCCCUUAGAAGUGUUGAUGGCUUCAACCAGGCAGAUUGGCUUCGAACACAGAAGGGAGGGAUCAAGUAAAGAACAACGCUAAUGGACAACUUGGUGGGAUGGAAAAUGUUGGCUAGAGACGAGAAAGGAAUGGAAAAUUUGAGAAUCCAGAAGACAAAGGGAGGAGUCUUGCUUUUGAUGAUUCUAUUCCAGGUGAAGAUGGGCUCUGAAACAUUGGUAUGAAGGAGGUGAGAAGAGGGGAAAGACCAGUACUGGGGAAAGAGCUUUGAGAACUGAAGGCAGAAGCAGCUUGAAAACUGGAUGUAGCAAAGCAUGGCUUGAUGAGCAGUGUGUAGGUUUGCACCUGGGAUCUGAACCUGCGAACUCCGGGCCACCGAAGCAAAGAGAGUGAACUUAACCACUACGCCACCAGGCCGGCCUCCAAUUCUACCUUCUUAUAAC
rnacentral:lncRNA from 1 species